rnacentral:lncRNA from 1 species
GACAGGGAGCACACUUUUAUACAUCAUGACUCUGAAAGCAUGAGAAGGAUGCGGGGGAAUAUACACAUCAUCUCUGAGUCCAAAAGGCAUAAAUAACGAUUGGCAAGAGCAGGAUGAACAG